AACGUAGGAGACAAACGUUAUCCGGAGUUACUGGGCGUAAAGGGCGUGUAGGCGGUCGACUAAGUCUGGCGUGAAAGCUCGCGGCUAAACCGCGAGAGGUCGUUGGAUACUGGUUGACUAGAGGACGGUAGAGGCGUGUGGAAUUCCUGGUGUAGCGGUGAAAUGCGCAGAUAUCAGGAAGAACACCAGUGGCGAAGGCGGUCAACUGGCCCGUAACUGACGCUGAGGCACGAAAGCGUGGGGAGCGAACAGG
rnacentral:rRNA from 1 species